GACGAACGCUGGCGGCGUGCCUAAUACAUGCAAGUAGAACGCUGAAGGAGGAGCUUGCUUCUCUGGAUGAGUUGCGAACGGGUGAGUAACGCGUAGGUAACCUGCCUGGUAGCGGGGGAUAGCUAUUGGAAACGAUAGCUAAUACCGCAUAAUAGUAGAUGUUGCAUGACAUUUGCUUAAAAGGUGCAAUUGCAUCACUACCAGAUGGACCUGCGUUGUAUUAGCUAGUUGGUGGGGUAACGGCUCACCAAGGCGACGAUACAUAGCCGACCUGAGAGGGUGAUCGGCCACACUGGGACUGAGACACGGCCCAGACUCCUACGGGAGGCAGCAGUAGGGAAUCUUCGGCAAUGGACGGAAGUCUGACCGAGCAACGCCGCGUGAGUGAAGAAGGUUUUCGGAUCGUAAAGCUCUGUUGUAAGAGAAGAACGAGUGUGAGAGUGGAAAGUUCACACUGUGACGGUAUCUUACCAGAAAGGGACGGCGAACUACGU
rnacentral:rRNA from 1 species